AAAAAAAAAACCAUAUACAGAUGAGAUGCCUAUAGCAAAAGAGCAUGAUGUCUAAGUGACCUUACUGGAUGCUCACUAACAGUUUAGGAGUAAUGGCUUUGUGAAACUUGGUGCUGGUUUGCCCCCCAUUGUAAAUAAGCCCCUCUGGAUUUGGCUAUUUUGUACUGCAACUGACUUGCAGCAUAGACUUACUCUCAACUUAUUUCUUUUGAAAUAGGGAGUAGGUAAAUAUAUAUAUAUAUAUAUAUAUCCUGAUAGUAAAAGCCUUUUCAUAGUUUCUGUUCCCCCUUCCCUGCCCCCCAUCCCCUUUUUUGCUUUCUCAUCCAUAGAGUGAUGGUUCUAAUGAAUGAACUCCUGCAUGGUAAAAUAUGGGAGUCUAUGCUCCUGUAAUAAUGUAAUAUUUCACCUCCUUUCCCCAUAUUUGACAGAUAUCCUUGGUUAGUUUGCCAAAAUUUCACACAGUGUUUGAAUACCAUCUUCCUUUUAAGAUGGCUUUUGGAGUUGUGGUGUUUUGUUUUUCUGGAAUUGUCUCCUGCAGUAUGGCAUAAAACUACAGUCUCAUCAUUUUCUCAUUCCGCUCAGAAGUUUCCUGGUUUUGCACUUACCUUUCAUACAGCCCCACCGUGCUCCUUUUUUUGCCAUUUGUGUAUAUAAAUCAUUUUCCUUCCCUUCCCUGUCCUCAUCUGUUCCUGUGUCCUUCUGGGAUGCUCCAUUCUAAAUUUCAGCUUUCACAAGGAAGGGCCGUCAAGUACGGUGGAGCACUAAUACAUAAACAGAGCUCCGAAGUACAGCAGUACAGUUAAUGAUUGAAACACAAAUCCUGAUAUUUUACAGCUCUCCUCAAGGCAAAUAAUGAAGUGGCAGUAGUUAAAAAGCAGUCUGGAGGCCUUAAAAGAGAAUAUGACCGUCUGAUGAAAGAAUACGAACGACUUCAGAACGCUUCAAGUGAAGCAGAAGACAAGAAAGACCUGUAAGUGUGCAUCAGGCAGAUGGCAUUGGUAUAAUUGUUUCAGUCUGAAAAGCCUCGUGCUGCUUAGGCUCCUGAUGUGCAUCUGAAACAAAGCUUGAUUUUUCUGAGAAGCACAUGCACUGCUGGUCACAAUCCAGAUUCCACUCAUAUAUCUUGGUUGCCAAUAUAUUAUUUGUUUGAAAUAAAAUGUUAAGUGGCUUACCAGGUCUGCUAUGGAGUUUGUUGCUGCUCUUGAGAGGAAAAACAUGAAAACCUUCCAGUUCACCUGGAGCAGCCAAUCUUCCAGCUCUCACCUUCCAGAAUGGUAAAAAUUAGUGUGCGAUUGCACCAUUUGCUUGUAACAUUUGAGUGGGAUUGUAUGUCGUGCUGAAUAAUAAAAAACUAUCUAAACAAACAUCAUUUGUAACACCUUGUUGGAAUCUUCAAAAGUACAUUUACCAGUGGACUGAAGCUUUUCAUCAAUCGUACUCUUUCCAUGGAAAACUGAAUGACAAUCAAUCUGAAAAAAGUUACUAAAUAAAGGAAAGUAUUUUAAAAUCCAUCCUGCUAGCUUCUGACUUCCACCUGGCUGCAUGGAUGAACAUAUUUUAACAAAUGAUAUUUUGCAUUAUUCUGGCUUAUUUUUCUUCAAUUUAUGGGGUUACAUCAGUUUUCAUAACCAAAGUUUUGAAUUGGUUAUUAUUAAUAUUCUGUAUUUUUACACUGUUUACACAUGCUUAUUCAGUACAUGCCACCUAACUGCUUUUGCCUUGCUAAAAAUUCUUCUAAAAUGUUGGAGGAUAGUUGUGUUGGUUUGAUUUUUGUUUUAUUUUCAUGAAUACAAUACCUCAGAGUAAAAGUGCACUGUUCUGCAUAAGCCCUCUUUGGCAUUCUGAAAGUUAUUUUGAGUUUUUUUUGUUGGUUGGUUCCAAUUUGUAUUCCAAAGUUGGAUAUGUUUGUUAUAUUAAAGAGAUUGCUGAAGUU